CCUCCACAAUAGGUAUUGCUCGAGUUCAGCUUGAUCGGAAGCUGCACAUUGUCAAGUUCGGAAUAACGUGUUAGAAAUUGCCAAAACCACCUAUCUAUAUGUAGGUUGUGAUUGAUCAAGGGAAUCAUCUCAGGUCAGACAGACAGACGGGUAGGCCUCCACAAUAGGUAUUGCCCGAGUUUAGCUUGAUUGGUAAGCUCCAAGCCUUUUGGAGUUUUCGGGUCU